AUGCUGGGCAAUGAUGUGUGCUGGAUGAACAGCCUUAGAUGCCUCAAGAGAUUGUUCUGGGGUGGGGAAGAAACCCAGCCUGUGUUUUAUUUUCAGUUUCUUUCUGCGCAUCUCCUGGGAAUUGAGGAGGAACAUUCGCAGAGUCUCCUAACAAUCGGUUCCUCUUCUUCCAUGUUUAUGGAGCCCUGCUCUCAUUCUGAUGCGGCCUCCCGCCCUGGUGCUGUGUUACCUCUCAGCCCUGCCGUCUACUCGGGAAUUCCUUUGCAUGGAGUGCCAGGGGCCCCGCUACUCUGCAGGAUGAGGAGGUCCAGGAGGUGAGUGUGGGUCACAGCCAGGAAAGGAAGCCUGUGGGGAGGGCCCGGACAUACACAAAGCUACAAGUCAUAGGGUGGGGCACCAGAUGGGUCAAGGCCAGAUUUGGAAUCAGUUGAAGUACAGGAUGUGCUAAAAGCCAGGCUCAGUGGUGUAGACUGGAAGCCAGGAAUCACACCAGGCCCCCUAGGAACACAGGUUCAUUUUUACUGGAACCAGGUGGGUGGGGAGGCGGGCAGAAUGGCCAGGCUGAGAGAGACAUGCAAGACCAGCAACCCCAUGGCAGUUUCAGUCAGAAGCCUCCUUCAAGAGCAGGUUCCCCCAGUUUCCUUGCACUCCCAGAGGUGAAGGUGCUAUUGCUCCUGGUGGGAGCCCCUUUUCUCAGUAUCCCGUCCAAACAUCCUGUGCCUUUCGUCCCAUCUCAAUCCCACAGAGCGAGUCCCAGGAGCAGCACUGGCUUUGCAGACCAAUGGACCUCAACUGAAGCCAAAUGUUGGCAGGCAAGUUGGUGAGCUUCCCUUGGCCUCUGCUUCCUCAGGGGCAGUGACACCUCUCUUGAGAGAAGUUGUGAAAAAGAAAUGAGGAGUUCCUUUCGUGGCUCAAUGGUUAACAAACCUGACUAGUAUCCAUGAGGACUCGGGUUCAAUCCCUGACUCUGCUCGGUGGGUUAAGGAUCUGGCGUUGCCAUGAGCUGUGAUGUAGGUUGCAGACUCAGCUCAGAUCCCACAUUGCUAUGGCUGUGGCAUAGGCUGGGGGCUGCAGCUCCAAUUGGACCCCUAGCCUGGGAACCUCCAUAUGCCUCGGGAGCAGCCCUAAAAAGACAAAAGACGAAAAAAGAGAGAGAGAGGGAGGGAGGAAGGAAGGAAAGCAGGACAGAGGAAAGUAUUCAUGGCAUGUGCCUGAUGUGUCAGGGGCUCAAUAAGGAGAUCUCCAUCUAACGAAUAUUUAUUAAGCACCGACUGUAAGCCGAGCAUUUUACCAGCUGCUAGGAAAUACUGUGGUGAGC
rnacentral:lncRNA from 1 species